GAAGAGAGAGUUCAAGAGUACGUGAAACUGCUCAGAGGUAAACGGGUGGGCCCUCGAAAUCCUGUGGCGGGAGGAUUCAGUCGGGAGGCUGUGGACGCGGCGUCGGAAAAAUGACAAACAGGGAUCCCGUGAACCGGGCCGUUCCGUUUGCCGCGCUUCCGUGCCACCCGACGCAUUUGUUUCCCGUCCGAAGGACGUCGCAACCGGUUUGGAAACGGCCUUAAGGGCGAGAGCAGGCAGGUGGCCGGUGGCGUUCACUCGUCGCCGGUUGUUAGCCAUCUCGUCGCACGGCACGUGGCCAGACCGUGGUGUCGCGAGGCCCCUGACAUGGGCCUCUUCGCCUCCUCCUUUAAAAACGGUUGCGGGUAGAAGCGUGACAGGAGUUCGACCCUCUUGCGGGCGCACGGACCGACUCCGUGGCCCAGUUUUGAGGUCGUCUUCGUUGGUCGCGCAAGGCCCGUAGGAGUUGUUGGCGGUUGGCGGCGAGUAGAUCGGUCACCCACCCGACCCGUCUUGAAACACGGACCAAGGAGUCUAACAUGUAUGCGAGUCAAUGGGACUCGAAUAAGCCCAGAGGCGCAAUGAAAGCAAAGGCCGGACUCGACACCGUGCCGUGUUGGGAUCCCUGCUCCUUAUGCGGGCGGGGCGCACCAACGACCCGUCCUCUUCCACUGUUGGAUUGGGCGGAGUCUGAGCAUACACGUUGGGACCCGAAAGAUGGUGAACUAUGCCCGGACAGGACGAGGCCAGAGGAAACUCUGGUGGAGGU
rnacentral:rRNA from 1 species